rnacentral:lncRNA from 1 species
GCCCCCUUGAACUUGGAGAGAAGCUAUCACCACUGCCUGGGGGACCUGGGGCAGGGGACCCCCGGAUCUGGCCAGGCCGGAGCACUCCAGAGUCGGACGUUGGGGCAGGAGGAGAAGAGGAGGCUGGCUCGCCCCCCUUCUCCCCCCCUGCAGGGGGAGGAGUCCCUGAGGGGACUGGGGCUGGGGGGCUGGCAGCAGGUGGGACUGGGGGUGGUCCAGACCGACUGGAGCCAGAGAUGGUACGCAUGGUGGUGGAAAGUGUGGAGAGGAUCUUCCGGAGCUUCCCAAGGGGGGAUGCUGGGGAGGUCACAUCCCUGCUAAAGCUGAAUAAGAAGCUGGCACGGAGCGUUGGGCACAUCUUUGAGAUGGAUGAUAAUGACAGCCAGAAGGAAGAGGAGAUCCGCAAAUACAGCAUCAUCUAUGGCCGUUUCGACUCUAAGCGGCGGGAGGGCAAGCAGCUCAGCCUGCACGAGGCUUCACCCUGAAGAACUGGGAGGCCCUCCACUGAAGAAGCUGAAACAAGAGGUUGGAGAACAGAGUCACCCUGAAAUCCAGCAGCCUCCCCCAGGCCCUGAGUCCUAUGUACCCCCAUACCGCCCCAGCCUGGAGGAGGACAGCGCCAGCCUGUCUGGGGAGAGUCUGGAUGGACAUUUGCAGGAGUUCGAGGAAGGGCUGCUGGACAGAUGUCCUGCCCCAGGACCCCAUCCCGCGCUGGUGGAGGGUCGCAGGAGCAGCGUGAAAGUGGAGGCUGAGGCCAGCCGGCAGUGAGGGUUGGACUGGUGUCUUCAGACCCAGGACCUCAGACUUCUGGCUCACACAGACCCCCACGCUCUCCAUCCCCGGAAUCUAGUCACAACCCUGGAUCCUUCCUCUGCCCUUCUCCUGCCUCCCCACCUGCUCCAUGGGCAUAAGACUGUGGGGCUUCAAGCAAUAACAAGCAGAGGCCUGGAGAGAGGACACAAGGAGGGUGCGUGGUGCCCUCACCCCUGCCCAGAGCGAGGGGGCAAGGACUCUGCCUCCAGGGCAUCUGGGGUUUUCCCCUCCCUCACACAACACACUCCCAUUCUCUUUAGGUUUGCACCAGUGGUGUGAGCAGUUGGACUCAGUUUGGACAAGGGGGAAAGGGGGACUUCCCUGGGAAGGUCCAGCUAAAAGUGGCAACAUUUGCCCCCAGAAUUGGGGGCCUGGGAACACUGGACCUGCUCCUUCUCCCCUCUCCUUCCCCGUUUUUGUGCUUCUGGUUUGUUUCUUUAAUUAAUUUAACAAGUGCUGCAGUUUGCCCUCCCAUUCCCAUCUAUCCCCCAAGUCCUUUGCAAUUUCUUCCCUGCCCUACAUAGGGGCGGUGGGUGUGGGAUCCCUUCACUGGCCCCCUCGGGAGGCCUGGGUUGGACUCAGGGUCUCCUCCAGCUGGGGGCUGGACCGCAGCACCUAUCUGAGCAGUUAGAGCGUCUUUCUUUUCAGAUUGUGUACAGUAGAUUAUUUAUUUUGUUAUUUUGGAAUAAAAUUUAUUUUAUGGCUUAGG